rnacentral:lncRNA from 1 species
AAUUACGUUAUAUUUUUAAUUACUUUAAAAAAUAACAGCGUAUGUUUAACUAUUAAAAUCAUACAAAAUAAAAAAAUUAAUAAAUUUAUUUUUAUAUCAAGUUAUGUCCAAGUGGAAAAUGGGAGAAUAAUAUGGGCAUAUACUUUUGUAUCCUUCUUUAAUUUGCAUGAAUAUAUUAGUUAUUUCUAGAAAGGGUAUGCAAAAAAAUUUCAUGAGUUCUUAGGUUUGCAUUUACUUAGAAUUGCAUUUUCUGUGAAGAUCAUGUUAGAACAAAAUACAUAUUUACCAUCUUCUGUUUAUUCAAGUUAUGCAAGUUAUGAAUGAAAGGUCAACCAAUUCCAAGACUAUCAGUGAGACUAGGGUACAGAAGGAAAUGUCUGGGAACUUAGUCACACACUUUCCACUGGCAGGACAGAUCUCUAGAUAGGCACUCUUACUGCAUUGACAACAACUCUGGAAUACCCAGGAUAUCAGGGUAACUAUGAUUUGUUGCAUUCCCAGGGAGUAAAAAUGAGAAGAGGAGCUGGGUUAUGACAUCACCCAUGUUAUUGAAGAUUGUUUCCAACAUGCACACAGUUCAAGGUUAGCAGCAAGAGAGUGAGAAAUGAGAAGGGGAUCGGACAGAAAAGUAUAAUAAUAGCAAGCCGAGAGAGCAAUAUAAAUCAGGUAGAUUGAAGUGGACAGAAUGAAAUCAGCAAAUGCAAAACAGAAGUGGCCCAUAUAUAAAUUUAAGAGUCCUUACCCUGUAACAAAUGACCUAGAGGACCACCUCCACACCACAAAUGGCAAAAAAAAAUGUUUUGUGAGUAACACGGAGAGACGUUUAGCCCCUAAAAUGGUUUGUCUUUGGGGCCACCACAUUGCUACUUUGUGAAUAUUGAAGUACUCAAUGUUUCCUAAUUUUUGGUAGUUGGUCCUUUCUUUUGUCAUCUACAAAAAUAAAAUGAGAAACUGAGAGAUAUGCAGUGAGAUAAAGAGGAGUGAAAGUGAUAGUGAUGAUAAAUUGAUGACAAAGACAGAGAGUCCAAGAUUAUGGAGUGAAAUACAGAAGUACAUAAAACAGAAAUAAUCUGCUUGAGAGAAAGAUUUAAAUGAUUUAUACAAGAUUAAAGUAGAGCAGAAGACAGGCAGACACAUACAUGUAUUAAUAUGUUAGACACCCUGCCCUGUACAGUUAUUAAACAAUUAAUAAUUAUAUUUUUAGCAAAUUUCACUGGGUUACAUGUAUAUCAACAGUUGCCAGGGUAGGAUCACUUGCUGUUACGUUGUGGUACCGAUAUGUUUUUGAUUUAGUUUGAAUCAAUCAUUCCUAGCAAUAUUUUAUAUUUCAAUGUACAUGUGCCUUUAUCAGUAUUUAUGACAGGCUGCUUACUUACUCUAUUUAUGAGGUUUUUUUCUCCAGUGUGACCUUGGCAUCCCAAAUACCUCUCAGUGUUGUGCUGUGCUCUUUACUGAAAACACUAAUUAUGUUUAAAUAGUUUACAGAACUCCUUCUUCCGAAUCAAACAUAAUUCCAGUGCUCGAUAAAGCCUUGUUCAAUGGAAUCUCACAACCUUAUCAGAGUUUAAGGAACUUUUCUGUGUAAUGCUCAUUAUCAACAUUCCAAACUAUGGUAAUAUUAUUUGCUAUUUGAUGUAGAAUCUUCAAAAAGAACAAAAACAAAUAAAACUGAUAAACAUGGACCCCUUUAAAGAGCUUUGAACUAUAAUCCUUCAAUGAAAAAAAUCACAUAAUCCAAAAAAUGAUUCAUUAAAGAGUACAGAGAGCAAAAAACUUGCACUUGCACAGUGGAAAAAAAUCAAUAUUAAGUCAGUUUUCCCCCAUCUGUAUUAAAAUGAGAAAUGCAUUAUAAGCACAUUAUAAAAUAAUUUCUAUAUAACUAGUUAUGUAGAGAAGAGUAUUCUCAGUUGAGUGAAAAAUCUCCAAUUUAUCAUGCCCUGCCAGUUGGCAAGACUCUAUAUGUAGGUGGAUAAAAUGUCCCUAUCAUUGUUAACAUGGUUUGAUGUUAUUUUCUACAGCAUAAAAUGUCAUAACACAUUGUGCUAGCUAUAUUUCGAGCAAGUGGUUAGUUUCAACAUUUAAAAUGUUCUUUUCAUGACUUGUAUUUUACACCUAUAUCAUUGGCAUGUCGGAGACAUAGCAUGCAAGAUGUCUGAGAGUGGCUGCACAGGCAGCCGCCCUAAACCCAAAUUAUGCCCUUAUACACACAAGUAGUACUCUUUCCAAUGCUCAUAUGUAUGUUUUUACUAUAACAAUGGCAUUUCAAGUGAGCUGCCUGAUUUAAAGUAAGAAGUAAGUAUAUAGCUCACCAAAUCCCAGCUGAUAUUUUGGAAGUGGGUUCUAAGAUAAUGAUGAAUAAGAAGCAAUGGCUGCAUUCAUUCUCUAAGUGAAAUUACAGUUAGAAUUUUGAACCCUUUAGGCUAUUGGUAGACUUGUUUGUCUGUCUAUUUUGAUUUAUCACUAAACAGAAUGUAAUGUAGAUAAAAAUCAAUACUGUGGGCUUCUCACAACCAGAUAUAUAUUGUGCUAAAACCUGAAAUAUGUCAUCAGUAAUCAUAGUUAAAGCUAAUUUAUGAUGCAAGUCAUCCUACAUAAAGUAUGUUCAUACUAUUUACAGUUUAUUAUAUUGUCUCACAUUUAUAAUAUAUCUAGCAAUUUCUUUCUUCAUGAUUUUACCCUUAAUCUGAUAAAAAUAGAUUAUUUUUGGAAUAACGCCUCCCUCCAUAGUUUCCAAUAUAUUGUAGCAUAUGUAUGUAUAUAUAAUACUUUGCAACUUUGUAAUGUCCAUAGCUCUAUCUUCUUCAAUUUAAUAUUUUUGUAUACGAUUUUCAAAUUAUUUAAUAUUUAAA